rnacentral:tRNA from 1 species
GGGGUCUUAGCUCAGUUGGGAGAGCAUUUCGCUGGCAGCGAAAAGGUCAUCGGUUCGAACCCGAUAGGCUCCACCA